AUUGAACGCUGGCGGCAGGCCUAACACAUGCAAGUCGAACGAGUGGCGGACGGGUGAGUAAUGUCUGGGAAACUGCCCGAUGGAGGGGGAUAACUACUGGAAACGGUAGCUAAUACCGCAUACCAUCGGAUGAGCCCAGAUGGGAUUAGCUAGUAGGUGGGGUAACGGCUCACCUAGGCGACGAUACCUAGCUGGUCUGAGAGGAUGACCAGCCACACUGGAACAGACACACGGUCCAGACUCCAACGGGAGGCAGCAGUGGGUAAUAUGGAACAAUGGGCGGAAGACUGAGGCAGCCAUGCCGCGUGUAUGAAGAAGUCCUUGGGGUUGUAAAGGACUUUCAGCGAGGAGGCGUUACUCGCAGAAGAAGCACCGGCUAAAUCCGUGCCAGCAGCCGCGGUAAUAC
rnacentral:rRNA from 1 species